UCUUCGAUGGUGGAUCAG
rnacentral:snRNA from 1 species